rnacentral:rRNA from 1 species
UUAUUUGAAACAGGAUACAACCUCCACCACCGGGUAAACAAGGGUAGUUAAAACUAAGUGGGCCUAAAAGCAGCCACCUUCCGAAAAGCGUCAAAGCUUAUCUACUCCAACCCACAAUUUCUAAAAUACUCCCUAACCCUUCAUUCCUACUGACCCCUUUUAUACUAUUAUAAAAAUAAUUAUGCUAGAACUAGUAACAAGAAGUCGCCCUUCUCCCUAAUGUAAGUAUAAACCAAAACGGACCUUCCAUUGGUAAUUAACGUAAAUGCAAACCCCAUAAUAACAUAACCAGAAAACCUUAUGGCCCCCCACGUUACCCUAACACUAGAACAUUACAGGAAAGAUUAAAAGAGAAAGAAGGAACUCGGCAAAUUUUAACCCCGCCUGUUUACCAAAAACAUCGCCUCUUGAUUAAACAUAGGAGGUCCAGCCUGCCCAGUGACAAAAUUCAACGGCCGCGGUACACUAACCGUGCGAAGGUAGCAUAAUCAUUUGUUCUUUAAAUAAGGACUAGUAUCAACGGCAUCACGAGGGUUAUACUGUCUCCUAUCUCUAAUCAGUGAAACUGAUCCCCCCGUGAAGAAGCGGGGAUUUAGCU